CCUACGGGAUGCAGCAGUGGGGAAUAUUGGGCAAUGGGCGCAAGCCUGACCCAGCAAUGCCGCGUGAAGGAAGAAGGCUUUCGGGUUGUAAACUUCUUUGACAGGGGAAGAGCAGAAGACGGUACCCUGAAAACAAGCCACGGCUAACUACGUGCCAGCAGCCGCGGUAAUACGUAGGUGGCAAGCGUUGUCCGGAUUUACUGGGUGUAAAGGGCGUGUAGCCGGGAAGGCAAGUCAGAUGUGAAAUCUGGAGGCUCAACCUCCAAAUUGCAUUUGAAACUGUUUUUCUUGAGUACUGGAGAGGCAGACAGAAUUCCUUGUGUAGCGGUGAAAUGCGUAGAUAUAAGGAGGAACACCAGUGGCGAAGGCGGUCUGCUGGACAGCAACUGACGGUGAGGCGCGAAAGCGUGGGGAGCAAACAGGAUUAGAUACCCCGGUAGUC
rnacentral:rRNA from 1 species